UUGAGAGAGAGAGACAGAGCACAAGUGGGGGAGGGGCAGAGAGAGAGGGAGACACAGAAUCCGAAGCAGGCUCCAGGCUCUGAGCUGUCAGCACAGAGCCCGAUGUGGGGCUCGAACCCACAAACCGUGAGAUCAUGACCUGAGCCGAAGUCAGCCGCUCAACUGACUGAGCCACCCAGGUGCCCCCCACAAGGCAAUUGUUAAAACAGAAAACAACAAUACUGAAACCUGUAGAGAGUUAAAUCCUGUAUGUCUUAUCUUUUUGUCAGCUAUUUAAAGAAGGCUAAAAAAAUACUUCCAAACUUGUCAAGAGAAAUUAUCGUUAAUUUGGCUAAAUUUAAACCACAACUGUAUGGCAUGAAAAACUAGUAUGUGUGUGUCUGUGUGGGUUUUGUGUGUGUGUGUGUGCAUGUGGCAGUUGGAAGGUAGAUUAAGGAGAGAGCUCGAAAGGAAAUGUCACAUGAUUUCACUUCUCACUGUUUUGUUGAUGGUUUAAAAAUGGUUUAUCCAAAUUGCUUAAUUGGUAUUAUAGAAUGAUACACUAAAAUAAAUUAGUGAGUUGCUUGUAAACCUAAGUUGUGAUAGCCACAUGUUAACAUUUAGGUACAUCUGCCCUAUUCAUUGUGAUUCAUAAGGUAGAACUUGUCUUCAUCCUCAAACUGACAACAAACCUCAGGAUUGUAGGAGCUGAUUGUUAACUGUAAGCAAGACUUUGAGCACCAGAGGAAGAUGAAUUUGUACAAAUGAAUUUGAAAUUCACACAGUUGUGGUAAUUUCUAGUGUAGCUACCUAUCACACAAAGUAAAUGUAAUUUUAGUAAGACCAUUUUUUUCUUUUCUAAUUAAAGGUGAAGUUAGUUGGCCUCUAGAGGAUUAAAUGUAAGGGAUCCCAUCGCCCAUUCAGGAAAUUCAGUUCCAUUUUCUCAGGUUGCUCUAUUACGUUAAAUCUUGUGUAUGAAGACCAUCCAGGACAUCCCACCCUGCUCCUGAGAUCUUACAAAUAUUCCAGAGUAUAUUGGAUAAUAAUAUAGUGACAUUUUAACACAUUAGGAAGAAAGAGCUACUGCAUAGGUGGUAUUCGCUAACAGCCUUCUGAUAACAUGGAUUUUAAAGCAUCAGUUUUCAUUUAUUUUAUUAUUUUUAUUAAUUUUUAUUGAAGUAAUUACUAUACCCUAUGUGGGGCUCGAACUCACAACCCAGAGAUCAAAAGUUGCAAAUCAUCAGUAUUUAAAGGACAGCGUUUCCAACUGAAUACAAUUUUCAAAAAAACACAAGGCAGUUAUUCAACAAAGUGACAGAUUCCGUAUCAAAUUUUAAUUUCAGUAGUUACAACUUGAAUGUUUUUGUUACUGUAUAGAUUGUCAAACUGAAAUGUGCUAAAACAAAAUAAGUAACCACAUAUUUUACAUCCAAAAAUUAAUUUUAAGUUUUUUUUAGAUAACCUUCAAUAUUUGAAAUUCUGCAACUGGAUUACAGAUGAUAACAGGCACUAAGAAACUGCUUUGACAGAGCGCGUCACAGAGCUGUUUGGCGUCGACCUCCUUGUCUACGUUACAUGAAAUCCUAUUAGACAAGUUGUAGGAAGAUUUGGCGGUAGUUAAUGUUCAAGUCUUAAUAUGAAAUUCCUUUUAUCAAGGGAAGCCAAAUGCAGAUUACAUAAAUGAGAUUGUAUGGUUUGUGAAUCAUCUUUGAUAAUGUCCAGUAACAGAGCCAAGGAUUUUCCAGUUGAAAGGGAGUGCAGCUGGUCAUGGGUUGUGUGGGGCGAUGGUGGGUGAUUGUGGCACUGAUAGCUAUUCUGGUUAACUUCACAUUGGGGAGGGAGGAUUUGGAGAAUUGUUGGCACUUUGGGUUAACUCCUAUGGCAGCUGGCCAGCAAAUUCCAAAACUGCAAAUCAGAGAAUCAUAAAAAAAAGAUUCCACAUAGCCCUUAAACACUUUAUAUUAACUAAACACACAUAGAUGCACAUUCACUUACUGAUGUUUGGAUGUAGAUCCCAGGCUUUUUCUCUGAAUAUGGAUUCGUUCUUCUAACCACACAGCCAUGUUGCAGCUGGGGUUUCUUCAAAGUGGAAAGAGCUGGAUAGUCUGGGUGGAAGAUUCACUAUGACUUUUAGUAAUUUCCUUUCCUCCUUUUUAGAGGUAAUGUCUUCCAUACCAAAUUUGACACCAUUUUUUUCAUUUUUAGUAAUUUGUCUUCAUCAAAUGCUUCCAAGGCAUUCAUUGAACAGGCUUUUUUUUAAA